CUCUUAUUUAUUUAUUUUUUGUUAAAAUCAAACGAAAGGGAAAAGUAAUUUUUUGGGGAAGUAAUGAGUAAUGAUGAGUUCCCUGGUCAGUGAGAUUGGUAUAGCAAAGAGACCAGCCCAAAAUCGAUCAGUGAGAUUGGUAAAGUAAAAUUGCACUCUCCCUCCCACCAGCCCAAAACCGAAGACUUAUGCUCAUGAGAGGCACGAAAGGGCAAAGCUACAGAGGGACUGAGCAUUUGAAGACCAACAAAGUGUAUGAGAAAAAAAUUGAAUCUUACGAUUCUUAUCAUCUCACGAAUUGCUCCAAGAUCUAUUCAAACAUCUAAAAAAUUUUAUUCGGCUACUACAAUUGUAAAAGAACAAGAACCUGGACACUUUGUAUAGAGGAUUUAGUGACUGGAGAAAGAAGGGAUUUAGUGGCUAAAGAAAUGUGUGAGGGGAGCCUUGGACAAUUAGGGUCAGAGAUCUUACAACCAUAAGUUUAUUGCAAUUCAGUUAUGUAAAUGCAUGUGUAUUGAUUGAUAUCCUUCUCUAUGUUGCUCUGCUAUCCACACAUGUUGCAUUCUAUAUAUGAGUUUUGCUCAUUUUUUUAGUUACUGUUUGGAAAUGCUUAUAGCAGCCAUAAACAUUCAUAAUGUCAUAUGUUUUUAUAUAUAUAUCCUUGAUUUGAAUGACGUUUUUUAAAUUUAGAACCAUAUUUGGAUAAAAUGAUAACUUGCACUAAGGUAAGAUAUCAUAUAUGUAUGGCUCUAUGUUUAGAUAUCUAAUAUGAUAUGUUAGGAUUUGUUGCAUAA